rnacentral:rRNA from 1 species
AUUGAACGCUGGCGGCAGGCUUAACACAUGCAAGUCGAGCGCCCCGCAAGGGGAGCGGCAGACGGGUGAGUAACGCGUGGGAAUCUACCGUGCCCUACGGAAUAACGCAUGGAAACGUGUGCUAAUACCGUAUACGCCCUACGGGGGAAAGAUUUAUCGGGGUAUGAUGAGCCCGCGUUGGAUUAGCUAGUUGGUGGGGUAAAGGCCUACCAAGGCGACGAUCCAUAGCUGGUCUGAGAGGAUGAUCAGCCACAUUGGGACUGAGACACGGCCCAAACUCCUACGGGAGGCAGCAGUGGGGAAUAUUGGACAAUGGGCGCAAGCCUGAUCCAGCCAUGCCGCGUGAGUGAUGAAGGUCUUAGGAUUGUAAAGCUCUUUCACCGGUAAAGAUAAUGACGGUAACCGGAGAAGAAGCCCCGGCUAACUUCGUGCCAGCAGCCGCCGUAAUAC